rnacentral:rRNA from 1 species
GGGGAAUAUUGCACAAUGGGCGAAAGCCUGAUGCAGCGACGCCGCGUGCGGGAUGAAGGCCUUCGGGUUGUAAACCGCUUUUAAUUGGGAGCAAGCGAGAGUGAGUGUACCUUUUGAAUAAGCACCGGCUAACUACGUGCCAGCAGCCGCGGUAAUACGUAGGGUGCAAGCGUUAUCCGGAAUUAUUGGGCGUAAAGAGCUCGUAGGCGGUUUGUCACGCCUGGUGUGAAAGUCCAUCGCUUAACGGUGGAUCUGCGCCGGGUACGGGCAGGCUAGAGUGCAGUAGGGGAGAUUGGAAUUCCCGGUGUAACGGUGGAAUGUGUAGAUAUCGGGAAGAACACCAAUGGCGAAGGCAGAUCUCUGGGCUGUUACUGACGCUGAGGAGCGAAAGCAUGGGGAGCGAACAGGAUUAGAUACCCUGGUAGUCCAUGCCGUAAACGGUGGAUGCUGGAUGUGGGACCCUUCCACGGGUUCCGUGUCGGAGCUAACGCGUUAAGCAUCCCGCCUGGGGAGUACGGCCGCAAGGCUAAAAC